rnacentral:rRNA from 1 species
CCUACGGGUGGCAGCAGUGAGGAAUAUUGGUCAAUGGCCGGAAGGCUGAACCAGCCAUGCCGCGUGAAGGUCAGUGCCCUUUGGGCGUUAAACUUCUUUUGUGCGGGAGCAAUAAUGGUCACGUGUGGCCAGACGAGAGUACCGUAAGAAUAAGCAUCGGCGAAAUUCGUGCCAGCAGCCGCGGUAAUACGGGGGAUGCAAGCGUUAUUCGGAUUUAUUGGGUUUAAAGGGUGCGUAGGCUGUGAGGUAAGUCAGCGGUGGAAUGCCCGCGCUCAACGGGGUGAAGUGCCAUUGAUACUGGCUUGCUGGAGUGCGGAUGCGGUAGGAGGAAUGUGUGGUGUAGCGGUGAAAUGCAUAGAUAUCACACAGAACACCGAUUGCGAAGGCAUCUCACGAAUCCGCGAUUGACGCUGAUGCACGAAAGCGUGGGUAUCAAACAGGAUUAGAUACCCGAGUAGUC